CAGUCCAGGCCCGGGGACCGGGGUGGGGGUGGGAGGGGGGCUGAGGGGAGGACCUGAAGGGGGGCUGCAGGGCAAAAGGGACCCCGGAGCCCUGCCGCCAUCAGAGAUCAAGCAUCUGGCAUCAGGGAUCUUCGGACCCAGCAGAAGGAUCAGCCACAGGGGAGGUGUCCUCCCAGGGAAGCCAACGAGAGCUCCACCUGCCCCACAUCAGGAGUGCCCCCCCUACCCAACACUGACGCUGCUGGCAACCAUACCAGGCCUCUAACCCCUCAGCCUCCAUCCCCCUCUCCCUCCUCAGGCCCUUUCCUUCACCUCCAGCUCUUAUCUUAAACCCCAAUUCCCAGCACCCUUGCUACCACCCUAACCCCAGGUCUUGGCCACAUUGCCUCCCAUCCUGGGAUAUUUGCCAGAUCUCUGGGAGGGAGAUCGUUUGUUUGGGCUAUGCCCCCUGGUGGCAUGACAGCGUCUGCCUAGACCCCUGACCCUUAGCCCUCAACUCUCUGGGCCUCCUUUGUGUGAAGAGCUGCCCCUCUGCUCAGCACUGUGGUUGGGGGCCAAAGGGAAAGCCAGCCCCAGGCUGGGCCCUGGCCCGGGCCACUUGCUUCCUUGCUGGGCAGCUCCCCCUGGCUUUGGGCCUCUCCCUGCUCCCCUCGGCCACUCCUCUUGGGCCGCCCCAAUGAAGGAGCCGGAUGCCAUCAAGCUGUUUGUGGGGCAGAUCCCGAGGCAUCUGGAGGAAAAGGACCUGAAACCCAUCUUCGAACAGUUUGGUCGGAUCUUCGAGCUGACUGUCAUCAAGGACAAGUACACCGGGCUGCACAAGGGAUGUGCCUUCCUGACAUACUGUGCCCGCGAUUCAGCCCUGAAGGCCCAGAGCGCCCUGCACGAACAGAAGACGCUUCCAGGGAUGAACAGGCCGAUCCAGGUCAAGCCAGCCGACAGCGAGAGCCGAGGAGAAGACCGGAAGCUCUUUGUGGGGAUGCUAGGGAAGCAGCAGACAGAUGAAGACGUCCGGAAGAUGUUCGAGCCUUUUGGGACCAUAGAUGAGUGCACUGUGCUCCGGGGGCCAGAUGGCACCAGCAAAGGCUGCGCCUUUGUGAAGUUCCAGACCCACGCCGAGGCCCAAGCAGCCAUCAACACCCUUCACAGCAGCCGGACUCUGCCGGGUGCCUCGUCCAGCCUGGUGGUGAAGUUUGCUGACACGGAGAAGGAGCGAGGUCUCCGCCGAAUGCAGCAGGUGGCCACCCAGCUGGGCAUGUUCAGCCCCAUCGCUCUCCAGUUUGGAGCCUACAGCGCCUACACCCAGGCCCUGAUGCAGCAGCAGGCGGCCCUGGUAGCGGCUCACAGUGCCUACCUCAGCCCCAUGGCCACCAUGGCUGCUGUGCAGAUGCAGCACAUGGCCGCCAUCAAUGCCAAUGGCCUCAUCGCCACCCCCAUCACCCCAUCCUCAGGAACCAGCACCCCUCCUGCCAUUGCCGCCACGCCUGUCUCUGCAAUCCCUGCCGCCCUGGGCGUCAACGGUUACAGCCCGGUGCCCACCCAGCCUGCUGGGCAGCCUGCCCCUGAUGCUCUGUAUCCCAACGGGGUUCACCCCUACCCAGCCCAGAGCCCCGCGGCCCCGGUGGACCCCCUGCAGCAGGCCUACGCGGGAAUGCAGCACUAUACAGCAGCCUACCCAGCCGCCUACAGCCUGGUGGCGCCUGCGUUCCCACAGCCCCCUGCCCUGGUGGCCCAGCAGCCCCCGCCUCCCCCCCAGCAGCAGCAGCAGCAGCAGCAACAGCAGCAGCAGCAGCAGCAGCAGCAGCAGCAGCAGCAGCAGCAGCAGCAGCGGGAAGGCCCUGACGGCUGCAACAUCUUUAUCUACCACCUGCCCCAGGAGUUCACGGACUCAGAGAUCCUCCAGAUGUUUGUCCCCUUUGGCCAUGUCAUCUCAGCCAAAGUCUUUGUUGACCGGGCCACCAAUCAGAGCAAGUGUUUUGGCUUUGUGAGUUUCGACAAUCCGGCCAGUGCCCAGGCUGCCAUCCAGGCCAUGAACGGUUUCCAGAUUGGCAUGAAGCGCCUCAAAGUCCAGCUAAAGCGGCCUAAGGAUGCCAACCGGCCCUACUGAGGGCCUCCAGGUCCCCUUCACCCCGCUGCCUGCCGCCACCCCACGCUCAUGGCUACAGAGCUGUGACCUUUGAUUACUUUUGUGUUGUUUAAUUCUCCUUUGGACCAAACACCUGAAAAAAUACAACCCAAGAACAACACCCACAUUUUCUGUUUUUCCCCCUUUCCCCCCAAUCCUGGCUGCUUAACUCCCCCCACCCUGGGGGCCCCCCAGCCCAGGGCCCGUGUCCAUUGUCGGCCGAAGCCCCCAUCCCCGGACCCCUGCUCCGGGCCCCUGUCUGGACACACCAGAGGAAGGGGCACCUCACCCCUUCUCCCCACGACUGGCCCCAGCCCUCUCUGCACAUCUGCCCUGGGCCUUGAUCGGGUGCUGGGGCAAACGCUGCUUCAUGGCCCUGGGGGCACAGGACACCGGCCCACUCCCACCACCCUGCCUCCCCUGAAGGGCCUGUUUCCUCCCAGGUGCCCUUUUGGCCUUUGUGAGGGAGCAAGGAACAGGCUCGAAGGCUCCAGGGGGUACCUGCCUUCUGCUGGAGCUCCUGUGAUGGGCUUUCUGUGCCCAGCUUUCGCACCUGCCCCCCCACCAGCGGGCCUGUCCCACCCAUGC